rnacentral:lncRNA from 1 species
UUAUUAAGGUGAAAGCAUUAACUAAUACACAAGAUAAGUUUCCUCCAAAUAAAAAAUUACACAAGAUAAGUAGGAUAAUUUAUGCAAACACAAUUAAAAUAGUACUAAGAUAUAGCUAGGUGUAGCUAUUUAUGUGAAAAGGCUUUUAGGAAUGAAACUUAUUUUCCAAGCAUGAUAAUCUUAAUGGAUUGGCUUUACAAUGGGAAUUACCUUUGGGAUAGGUUUGUAAAUUGGAAUAGGCUUGUAAAUUGGAAUUACCUUUGGAAUAGGCUUGUAAAUUGGAACAGGCUUGUAAAUUGGAAUUACCUUUGGAAUAGGCUUGUAAAUUGGAAUUACCUUUGGAAUAGGCUUGUAAAUGGGAAUUGGUUUGUGGAUUGGCUUAUAGAUUGGAACGUAUUUUGGUAUAGGUUUGUAAUAUGGAAUAUCUUUGUGAAUAGGUUUAUAAAAUGGAAUUGGUUUCUUGAAAAUUUGGUUUUUGGUGAAAAUAUCCUUUGAGUUUGUGUUUAAGAUAGAAAAAGUCCUUUGAAUUUUUCUUCUUCAUUAUGUCCUUCUAGGUUUGUCUUUGUUGCCUCUUCAUUUGCAAGCUUCCCAUCUGUGUUCACUUGGUUUCCU